GAAGUCCGACCACGACAAAGGUUAGCCACCAGUCGUGUAGUGAACUCUGCAUAUAGGGAGGUAACGAACUAUAUGAAGCCAGAGGGAGCAAGAUACUGGGCUGUAACGCAAGUGAAGGGAUUGAGCCCGUGCAGCGAAGCUAUCUGUUGGCCUUGUGGGUGUAAGUCCC
rfam:Candidatus Omnitrophica bacterium 4484_70.1 ex4484_70.1_scaffold_4496, whole genome shotgun sequence.